UACGAAGGGGGCUAGCGUUGCUCGGAAUCACUGGGCGUAAAGCGCACGUAGGCGGAUCUUUAAGUCAGGGGUGAAAUCCCGGAGCUCAACUCCGGAACUGCCUUUGAUACUGGGGAUCUUGAGUUCGGGAGAGGUGAGUGGAACUGCGAGUGUAGAGGUGAAAAUUCGUAGAUAUUCGCAAGAACACCAGUGGCGAAGGCGGCUCACUGGCCCGAUACUGACGCUGAGGCACGAAAGCGUGGGGAAGCAAACAGG
rnacentral:rRNA from 1 species